GCUUGGGGAGCCCGUCACCCGGAUGCCUACUUUUGCUGGGGCUACCCUGCCUCGCCCCUGGAAGUUGCUUCACGGUCACUCACGUUUGUGUUGACUCAGCAGCGUGAUAGCAGACGGCUGUGGCCUUCGCUUGGGUGGCCACGGCUGCCUUUCCAAGCAAACGCAAGGCUGCCCAGGCCUUGAAAUGUGAGAGGCCCGGAUCGCCCAGGCACUGCUUUGAGCAGUGCUGUUUGGCAACGACUACUGAGCAGGAAAGGAAGGCCAAAAGUGCUUCCUGGAUUGGAUGCUGCGCCGAGACUGUUGCCCCACAGACCGUGGUUUUGCAGUCCUGAGACCAAAACCUCUGUCCCGAGGAGAAUCUUUAUAAAAGUCAGCCGACCCCAGGGCAGGAGGAGCCAGCAGCCCCGGGCUCGUGCUCCAGCCGAGGGAGUUCAGAUGAGAAGAAUCUGAAAUCUAACUCCAGAAGAAGAAGUGAGCAACCCAGAACCCGGUAACGUUCAAUUGGUGAGCCACGAUUAGAAGCUACCCAGUAACAUUUUGGCGUAGACAUCCAGGAAAAUCAAAAGUCAAGAGAUUCUGAUAAGCAUAGGAACAGCAUCUUCCUGGAAUUUUAUGUCAACUCUGGGUAGCCAUGGUGUGAGGGCUAACAGAGAACAGGUGCAGGUGGGGUCUGUGUCUCUUCAGAGAGCCAUAAGGCAGCAAGAGAGUGAGGCCUGGGGUCCUACACUGCAGCUAGCGAUCUCAUGAAAUCAUGUUCUCUGUGAGAGUCAUAUACAAGGGGGCCAACACUGUUACAGAUAGAUGAGCUAGGAAGAAAUACUAUAGGCACUCAGAUGGGCUGAGUCCUGGAGAAGGCCAGGACAAAGGUGAAACACAGCACAGCUGCACAUCGGCUGAAAACCAGGCCUCAUGACGGAGACAGGAUGGCCGGACCCACGGACUUCUUCACAGCACUGGGCUUAGUGAAGCCUAGACAGGCAUCGACCACCCUGGGGUGACCAGAGAGCUCUGGACCCACCGCCUGCUAGGAGAAUCCUUGUUCUCUCCAUCCACACUUGCUACGUGACUCGCUUCCCAACUGGACACCAUCACCUGAGUGACUGCACCUGUGACCUUAGUGGAUGAUCACGGCCGGGGCCCACCUGUACCCAUGUGGGUUUCACCCUCUAAACUCCUCUGUAAAGUGGGGUCCCAGGCUGCCCACUCGGGACCCCUCCUGCCCCUCACGAGCUUUCCGAUCAAUAAGAAUCUUCCUAUUUAUAACCUCUAUCGUUCCUAGGACUCAUUCUUUGAUUUCUAGAGAACAAGAACUUGGUGUCUCAUACGGUUAAUGGGUUUGGAGACAUAAUAUUUCAUAUUUCAUAUUUCCUGGGACAUUAUUGGUGGUCCCACUGAGAUAAUAAAUAGGAGGUAAGAAUUUACUUUUAUUGAUUGCUAAAUUAUAUUAAAUAACUAAAAUUGUCAUUCUUGUUUGUCAC
rnacentral:lncRNA from 1 species